rfam:Lasius niger Lnig_2.1_22538, whole genome shotgun sequence.
CAAACGGCCCUUUUCAGGGCCACCACUAAAUACAACAAGAACACC